UUUGAUGGAACAUGUUGCUUUUGUUGAAACAUUUGAAGAAAAUUUCACCUGAAAGAAACAUGUAAUUGGACAGGAGAAGAGUGUUUCUAUAACCUUUUCAUGUAUUUGUGGAUUCUGCUCUUUGUACACUGAAACACAAAUGGCUGUUCUUAAAGUUUUAUAUGUAUUUCAUUCAAACUUCACCAGAGUGUGAGCAUAAUAUAACACACUAUUGUUACCUCCAUUUUAUGAGUGAAGGAUGUGAGGCACAUGGAGUUUAAGAUACUUGUCCAAGGCCACAAAGUUGCCCUGAGGUUGCUUCAAUAUUCUUCUCAACACAGGACUCCAAGCACCACUACCAAUUGAUCAGAGUUAACAAUUCAAGAUGAAAGCAAUUAUCUUCUCUGGUUUAAAGCUCCCGUUUUCCAAGGUGAAUAUAAGAACAAAGAAUAUCCAAGCAACAACUAGACUAUUCAGACUUGAGAUUCAUACUCAUAUCAUUUUCUCCAUAUUGGCAGGUAAGAUCACAGGCUUUCUGGAGGCAUUACAGCACACUUCAUGGGCAGCGUACGCAAUUGUAAUUUGACUUGUCAUUUUUCUUAAUUUAGAGCUGGUGUAAAAAUAGUGGAUCUUAUUAAGCCAGUAGUAAGUUAGGUAUUUUAGAAAAAGAUAUAUAUAUUUUUUUGCUCUUGUUCUCUAAGAUGAAAACAAGAUAUAAUCUCCAAAAUGAAUUUUUAAUGUUUCAUUUGCCCAUAGCGUUGUGGUUACUAUAAAUAAAGCAGUUAAACAGAUAUGAUUUCUAACCUCCUGGAGUUUGGUGAAGAUAAAAAGGUUGGUUUAGGAUUCAAAAUAACCCUUCCUCAUCACGGAUCAGAUGGCUGAAUCUCAUGUUGCCUGUUGGUGUUAGUAGACUUGGUGAUCUCACACCAGCACAGCAUGAUUAAUUCCAAAAAGGGUCAGAGGACAGAAACAUUUUUUUCCUCUCUUAAAUAAUUGAUGAAAAUCAU